CUUUUGCCCGUGUGCGGCUUCGCGCCCACUUUUGUCGACGUCAUUCGAGUCAGAACUGCGGAAGGUAUCAGUUGCUCGUGGCUUCGGUGCAGGCGAAACAAAAAAUUGUGGUCGUUCUGCUCAAGCGGCUGAACAACGAGUACAUCUCGAGGCCACAGCAUCGGCAAGGACACUUCCACCUCCUCUGAAUCACCGUCUCGUCUGUGCCAGGGUAUGCGAAAUGUGUUGCCUUUAUGGUUUCAACCGAUCUUGCUCACUGAUCAUUUCUUGCAUAAGUAAACACAAAUAAUUUUUGCAGCAAACAAUUCGCUGUUGCUGGUUGGUCACAGGCAAAGCAAAAUAGCAUGAUUUUUGCUAUUCAGAAACUGUAAGAAGCUUUAUGAACUGAUGCGCCUAAUCCCACUCUUUCCAAGCGGGGAACUUCGUCAUGCACAGAGGGCACAUUACUAUGGAUCGACUGUAUGCGGAGAAGUUACAGGCGCUUGGGCGGGAGGUCUUAAACCGUGGGCGUUAGUAAGAGCCGUUGCUUCUGCAUGAUCCACUGGGUAUCCAAUAGUUCCCCUAGCAAGUUAUGGGUACCCAGUGUGAGGAGGCUAUCUGUGGCGGUAGUCUGUGGCAGGCUGCGCAGCAUCUUAGUUGGCUUGCGCAGCAUGGCUUCCAGCCCCCCCCCCCGUUUAGAAUUAAGUAGUCGAAGGGAACAUGAUAGUUGAAUCUACUAGGGGUGCAGGCGGUCCACCAGGCGAAGCAAGUCGCGUUCGUGGAGACCGACCCGUGAUUGAACACCGUGCGCCUCGUACCCAGGAUCAGAUCAAUCUGGCGAAGUUAGUGAUAUGCCUGAACAUUCGAGUGAUGGAGGCGGUGUAAAGGUGUCACCUAUGCGCACAUAAAUGGGAGGGGGGUGGGUCGUAACGAACCACUGCGAGAGCGGGUGACCACCAGUUCGGACUUGCAUGGGGCGCAAGUCAGCUCGCCUUGAGCGGCGUAUGCGACUACCGAGUCAAGCGCGUUGAAGGCUCACGUCGAUCUCAUCGUCGGAACCUGUGUUGGUGCACAUGGGAGUAUCGUCGGCCUAGAGUGCAAGCGCGACGCUGGGGACCCAGUGCUGCAGCGCUGACAGCUUGGCGUGAGCAGUGCCGAACAAUACAGAGGAUAGAAAGGAACCUUGGGCUGUGUCCGUAUGUCCUCAAGAUAGUGACGAUCGAUAUGAACCGAUCCUAAUGGUGGCUGUGCGAUUGUGAAGCGCCUACAUAGUUAUACAUGUGAUUGCUGCAGCGCGAGUCAUCAAGAUUACGUAGAAUUCAGUCAUGGGCGACAUGGACAAAGGCGCUCUUUAGAUCGAAGGCUACGAUCUAAAGGCGUGUGUGCGCCCUCGAUGGUGCAUCAAGGAUGUCGUCCUUCAACUGUAUAAUAACCUUCUGCGUUUGUAAGGAAAGUAUGCCUUCUUAAUGAAGAAUGGCUCCAGCAGGCGCAAGAAUAUACGUGUUCGAAAAGUUUGCUAAUGUUUGGCUGCAGAGAGAUGGGGCAGAGUUGGUCUAGUUUGAUCAGUUUCCCUCGCUUGGGUAUAAGCAGGAUAUCUGCAUGGCGCGAUGCCAAUGAAAGGUAUCCCCGCCUGUCAUGCCUGUUAAAAAUUUCCAUUAACCUGUCAGGAUUAACCUCUCGCCAUAAUCUCUCGGAAUAUAUUAUAUAGUACCCUAACAUUCCCUGUUGCGGAGUUCUUAUGACAUAUUCAAGAAAGGUCCAUCCAACGGUGAUGUCCGCCUCCAAAAAUUCAUCUUCUAUCUGAGAAUGAGGGUAAUCCGGGUAGGCCGGCUUGGGACCAGUGGUGAAUUUCCCCUCGAGCUCCCGCAAGAGCUGCUCUCGGUCGUCGCGGUAGGCACGGAAAUGUGGAGAUGCUUGGAGGAGCGCGAUUUGAUUAUGGUCGCCAGACUCUACGUAGAGGUGGUACCGUAGUCACAAUAAUUGUCGCUCCCCAAGCGUUCACGAAGAGGGCCGUGCGGCAUGGCUGAUCCGGCAUACCUAGAGAAUGUAAGGUCCGAACACAUAUCGCGCGAGAUGCUGUUUCCCACCCGCAUGGGAAGCUCUGAAUGUGUAUGCAAGGUAAAGCGGGGGUUGCAUAUGCCACUCGAGAGGCACAUCCCCUUGGCUGUUGCUCAGGAGUAGCCCUACAUGAAGUUCGGCGCACUGAUGUCCCCGCACGCCAAUAGUGCGCAUCCAAUGCAUUCAAAUUCUAUAAGAAGACGAUGAAAGCAAUGCUCUUUAAAGCCGGGGAAGAUGUACAUGUUCAGGAUACCAAGACUUAGACUGUUUUCCCUGCAAUACGAUUUCAAGAAUAUGGUGCGGGAUACCCAUGUCUACGGCAUGAAGACUGUAUGUUAUGCAUUGAUACCAGAGCCCCUACUAGUGAAAAUUUCCCCUCGUAGGCGUCAUAUCCCGUUAGCAUUGAGGCAGAAUUGGGGUUCCUGCUAUACGAUCACAUUAGGAAGUUGUUCGGCUGAGACCCUCUUUACGUGUCACCAUGUCGGCUAUGCGGGCCUCAGUGCGUACCUCCGAAGGGGCAAAGACAUGGGUAAUCUCCGGCCGGAGUGACUGACUGUCCGAUUUUUGCAUGACCUGGACAUCUGGUCUUGAAUUUCCAACGUUCCAGUGUGGCCGAGCAGGCGCGAGGGGGCGGCUGCUGCGUCUUGUUCAACUGGACGGAGCUAGUGAAGUUAAUGGGUUGUCUACUAGACUAGCCACUUCGGAAUAUCCGCUUCUCCUCUGUAAGCGCCUUCUUGACACAAGUCUGAUUGAAGCGCUGUCGCUUUGGGCAGUCCAUUGCAGUCGAUGGAUGAUCCCCGUCGCAGGAUAAGCAGUGACGCGUACGAGAAUGCGGGAAAGGCUGCUUCUUGACUGCGCACAAUUCACACAAUGUUUGGUAUAGGGCAGUGGUCAUCCCGGUGACCAAUACUGACACACGUCCUGCACAUUCGUUGACAAGGACGGUGUGGAGAGCAGUACAUCUACGCCCGAGGAAUCGCAUGAAGUGAGGCUGUCUGAGGUGCUCGAACCUUACCAAGGAAGAGCCCCCGGCGCCAGACAUAAGCGCCUGUAAUAUCUGGGUGCCAAGCGCACGCAUUUCUUAAUAGCGGGUAACAGGGUUAAUAGCGGGUAGCUUCGCUGCCUGAUGUUCACACGCUGCAGUUUGCGGAUGGCGUUGGCCAGGUGGAAAAGCGGUGUACUAGAGACAUCGAGAUUUUGAUCAACUCACCGUCGAGUAGCCCGUAAUUUCCGGCGGGUUAUUCGCCGCUUCGGAGGCGAUGUACUGCGCACAAGCUGUGUGCAGGCAAAGGGAAAGCUCAAUGAUGUGCUCAUUGGAUGAGGCCAUAGUGGAUGCUCCGAUUGGCAGCUGAGGAGCACGGAGCGAAGCCACCACAGCUGUGCCGACAGCAAGCUGGGUCUGUCGCCACCAGCAAAGCCCCGAGCCGAAUCAGGCGGGUGAGCGCACCUAGGAGGGGAGGGGGAGGAGACACGUUGUAGAGCGUCCUCUAGUACGGGGCGCUUGCUAACGACGUGGAUGAGCGGCGUCACGCGCGCUAAUCUGAUCUGGUUUCGAAGGCUACGCUCGCCGGGGGAAGUUAUCGCGCGAGUUCUUUUCCUGCGUCUACCUCGCGGUGAAGCCGGAGGCAGCACGAAGGCCAAUUUGUUCUCCGCUGCUGCCGCUGUUCAUCGCGCCAGUGUUAUAAGGUUUGCGCGGCCAUAGAUAGUUGAUCGAAUAUUUUCCCGUGCCCGCGUGACACCAUGCUUGACAUCGUAAUUAGAUAAUGUUCUCUGCAAUUUAUACGACCAGUGAAACUGCAAGGCUUGCAUCUGCCGGGUUCUACACUUUUCUAUCUCAAUCAAUUCUUCGCUAUUAUGGCGAUACUGCGACAUUUCUAGAUGCCGAGCCGCCUGCCCUCUGGUCUGCUCAGCUAGCUUGGUUUGUGGCAGUUAGCGUCACCAUCUUUCAAGUGGCCAACGAAAAAUACAAUUUGCAUACUUCGAUUUUUCUUUGGAACCUACCUAUAUUUAAAGUAGGGUGACGAAACAAUGCGCAGGAGUGAAAUAUGCUUCUACCCAUUUUCUACUUAUGGUGCGAUUUUUUUACUUCGUCACUUUGUUCGUUGCGCCAACGGACGAUGUUGUCGCUUUCACAUCUUCAGCUGCCAUUCUGUUCGUCUGCUCCUAUUGCUCUCUGUAGACGCGCGCGCCUUUUUCGUCCACUGUGCGCUGCAAGAUUUCGUUUGUUUCGGCCGGUGUUCCGGUAAUGUGAGACAAGCUUAAGACCACAAAGGCGCACUACGUUUUCUCUGUGGUGGAUCAACACGGGGAGAGAAGGAAGGACCACUUUUCCACUUCCAAAAGAAUGAAAGGCUACAGCCUUCGCAAGGAGAAUACCAUCCCCACUUCCAUUACGUCAUUUGGACUGGGAUGACCGAGCUGACCGAGAAAAUACCUUUCGGUGGGCGCUAGUAAAAGCCGUUGCUUUAUGACGACCCACUGGGCGUCCGAAAGCUUCCCAAGCAAGUCAUUGGUACCCAGUUCGAGGUGCCGGUCGGUGGCGAUAGACUAUGGCACGCCAUGCCCCAUUUUAAUUCCUGGCACAGCCGGACGUUCAGUCACCCCAGCUGGUUAUGAGUUAAGUAGUGGAAGGGCAUAUGAUACUUGACUCUACUAAUGAUGCACGUGUCCACCAGCCGAAGCAAGUCGCGUUCACGGAGACCAAACUGGCGAUUAGAGACCAUGCUCAUCAUGCCCAGGAUCGGAUUACUCUGGCGAAGUUAUAGCGAUACGCCGUGUUGCGCAUGGUCGUCAUUGUGAACAUACGAACCAUGGAUGCGGUAUAAGGGUGUCACCUAUGCCCAAUUAAAUGGGGUAUCGGGAGGUACCCCUGCGAGAGCGGAUGACAACCAGUUCGUACUUGUGGGGAGCAAGUCAGAUCACCUUGAGGGACAUACGCGACUGCCGACUCAACGGCGCGUUGAAGGCUGUUCUCAAUGUCAACGUUCGGGAUGCGGUUCAGGAGUGGUGGGAGUGGGGAGAGCAAUGCUGAACGAUACAGUGGAUGGAAUACGGCCUUGAGCUGUACCCCUAUGCGCUCAAGAGAUUGACGAUCGAUGUGGACGAAUCCCUAUGUUGCUGUGCAAUCGCGAAGGAAAGAGCGUAGGUAGGUACACAUGCUAUUGGCCCAGCGCGAGUCAUAAUGGUGACGUAGAAUUCACUCAAGGCCGUUAUGGUCAAAAGCGCUCUUCAGAUCGAAGGCGCGUGUGGGCCCUCGAUGGGCGGACCAAGGAUGUCGUCCUUGAAACGUAGGAUAUCCUGCGUUUGAUAAAUGCGGUCUGAAGCCGAGCUGCACGCGAGGAAAGCACGCCUUUUUGAAGAACGGCUGAAGCAGGCGCAAAAGUAUACGCAUUGGACGAGUUUGCCAAUGUUUGAGUUGAGAGAGAUGGGGCGGAGUUCGUCAGGUUUGAUUAGUUUUUCUGGCUUUGUUAUAGGCAUGAUAUGUGCAUAGCGUCAUGCCAGGGGCAGGUAUCCCCGCCUCCAGUGCGUCUUACAAAUGUGUUACCUUUUCGAGAUUGGGCUGCUGAG